rnacentral:rRNA from 1 species
CCCUUAGAUGCUCUGGGCCGCACGCGCGCUACACUGGUCGAUGCAACGAGUUUCUUUCCUUGGCCGACAGGCCUGGGCAAUCUUUGAACAUCGAUCGUGAUCGGGAUAGAUUCUUGUAAUUUUUGAUCUUAAACGAGGAAUUCCUAGUAAACGCAAGUCAUCAGCUUGCAUUGAUUACGUCCCUGCCCUUUGUACACACCGCCCGUCGCACCUACCGAUUGAAUGGUCCGGUGAAGCCUCGGGAUUGUGGUUCUUGCCGCUUUAUUGUGGCGUGACCGCGAGAACUUGUCUAAACCUUAUCAUCUAGAGGAAGGUGAAGUCGUAACA